rnacentral:ncRNA from 1 species
AAACGAGACGGCGAUGGAGUUCGCCGCAACCGCCAUCGGCGCCAGCCGGGGGCUGAUGACUCCUACCCAGUG